rnacentral:misc_RNA from 1 species
UACGUAGGUGGCGAACGUUGUCCGGAUUCACUGGGCGUAAAGCGCGCGCAGGCGGAUUGGUAAGUCUGAGGUGAAAGCUCCCGGCUCAACUGGGAGAGGCCCUUGGAUACUGCCCGUCUUGAGACAUCUAGAGGAGAGUGGAAUACCCGGUGUAGUGGUGGAAUGCGUAGAUAUCGGGUGGAACACCAGUGGCGAAAGCGGCUCUCUGGGGAUGGUCUGACGCUGAGGCGCGAAAGCGUGGGGAGCAAACCGG